rnacentral:rRNA from 1 species
ACGCUGGCGGCAGGCCUAACACAUGCAAGUCGAGCGGAUGAGAGGAGCUUGCUCCUUAUUUCAGCGGCGGACGGGUGAGUAAUGCCUAGGAAUCUGCCUGGUAGUGGGGGACAACGUUUCGAAAGGAACGCUAAUACCGCAUACGUCCUACGGGAGAAAGCAGGGGACCUUCGGGCCUUGCGCUAUCAGAUGAGCCUAGGUCGGAUUAGCUAGUUGGUGAGGUAAUGGCUCACCAAGGCGACGAUCCGUAACUGGUCUGAGAGGAUGAUCAGUCACACUGGAACUGAGACACGGUCCAGACUCCUACGGGAGGCAGCAGUGGGGAACAUUGGACAAUGGGCGAAAGCCUGAUCCAGCCAUGCCGCGUGUGUGAAGAAGGUCUUCGGAUUGUAAAGCACUUUAAGUUGGGAGGAAGGGCAGUAACCUAAUACUUUGCUGUUUUGACGUUACCGACCAGAAUAAGCACCGGCUAACUCUGUGCCAGCAGCCGCGGUAAUACAGAGGGUGCAAGCGUUAAUCGGAAUUACUGGGCGUAAAGCGCGCGUAGGUGGUUCGUUAAGUUGGAUGUGAAAUCCCCGGGCUCAACCUGGGAACUGCAUUCAAAACUGUCGAGCUAGAGUAUGGUAGAGGGUGGUGGAAUUUCCUGGGUAGCGGUGAAAUGCGUAGAUAUAGGAAGGAACACCAGUGGCGAAGGCGACCACCUGGACUGAUACUGACACUGAGGUGCGAAAGCGUGGGGAGCAAAC